rnacentral:rRNA from 1 species
ACACUUCGAAAGGGGUGCUAAUACCGGAUAAGCCCACGUGGUCUUUGGACCGUGCGGGAAAAGGGGGGGACCUUCGGGCCUUUUGUCAUCAGAUGAGUCUGCGUACCAUUAGCUAGUUGGUAGGGUAAUGGCCUACCAAGGCUACGAUGGUUAGCUGGUUUGAGAGAAUGAUCAGCCACACUGGAACUGAGACACGGUCCAGACUCCUACGGGAGGCAGCAGUGGGGAAUUUUGCGCAAUGGGCGAAAGCCUGACGCAGCAACGCCGCGUGAGUGAUGAAGGCUUUCGGGUCGUAAAGCUCUGUCGAGGGGAAAGAAGUGUACGGGGGCUAAUAUCCUCUGUACUUGACGGUACCCCUAAAGGAAGCACCGGCUAACUCCGUGCCAGCAGCCGCGGUAAUACGGGGGGUGCAAGCGUUGUUCGGAAUUAUUGGGCGUAAAGAGCGUGUAGGCGGUUUGUUAAGUCUGAUGUGAAAGCCCUGGGCUCAACCCAGGAAGUGCAUUGGAAACUGGCAGACUUGAAUACGGGAGAGGGUAGUGGAAUUCCUAGUGUAGGAGUGAAAUCCGUAGAUAUUAGGAGGAACACCGGUGGCGAAGGCGGCUACCUGGACCGAUAUUGACGCUGAGACGCGAAAGCGUGGGUAGCAAACAGGAUUAGAUACCC